CUCUCUCUCUCUCUCUCUCUCUCUCUAAACACAGCCACUGUCCUAGCAAACAAUAAACUCCUUCUCUCCUCUUGAGUUCCAGUUAGAGCUAGGGAUAUUAGAUAUUUAUUCUUCUUCCUCCUCUAUAUCUCUCUGUGGGGAAAAAGAACAAACACAGAAAAAGCAGAAGACGCAACCACGAAAGACGCGUCUUUACCGAGCAGAUUCUUUCUGCGUCAUACUAUUAUUAUCAUCUCUCAUUCUUUCCUCUAUAUAAAGCGACACCCAACUCUGAUUGUGUGGCCUCCCUUCGCUUAAUCCUCUUUAGGUUUUUAGGGGGUUUUGGCCU
rnacentral:misc_RNA from 1 species